rnacentral:rRNA from 1 species
UAACGACUUCCCCACUGUCUCCAGCAUCGACUCAGUGAAAUUGAAUUGCCCGUGAAGAUGCGGGCAACCCGCGGUUAGACGGAAAGACCCCGUGCACCUUUACUACAACUUCGCAGUGGCAUUAGUGGCGAUAUGUGUAGGAUAGGCGGGAGACUUUGAAGCAGGGCCGCCAGGUCUUGUGGAGUCACCCUUGAAAUACCGCCUUUUUGUCCUUUGGUAUCUAACCGCGAUCCCUGAACCGGGAUCCGGGACCCUCUGUGGCGGGUAGUUUGACUGGGGCGGUCGCCUCCCAAAGAGUAACGGAGGCG